rnacentral:rRNA from 1 species
AUGCAAGUCGAGCGGGGGAAGGUAGCUUGCUACCGGACCUAGCGGCGGACGGGUGAGUAAUGCUUAGGAAUCUGCCUAUUAGUGGGGGACAACAUCUCGAAAGGGAUGCUAAUACCGCAUACGUCCUACGGGAGAAAGCAGGGGAUCUUCGGACCUUGCGCUAAUAGAUGAGCCUAAGUCGGAUUAGCUAGUUGGUGGGGUAAAGGCCUACCAAGGCGACGAUCUGUAGCGGGUCUGAGAGGAUGAUCCGCCACACUGGGACUGAGACACGGCCCAGACUCCUACGGGAGGCAGCAGUGGGGAAUAUUGGACAAUGGGGGGAACCCUGAUCCAGCCAUGCCGCGUGUGUGAAGAAGGCCUUAUGGUUGUAAAGCACUUUAAGCGAGGAGGAGGCUACUUUAGUUAAUACCUAGAGAUAGUGGACGUUACUCGCAGAAUAAGCACCGGCUAACUCUGUGCCAGCAGCCGCGGUAAUACAGAGGGUGCGAGCGUUAAUCGGAUUUACUGGGCGUAAAGCGUGCGUAGGCGGCUUAUUAAGUCGGAUGUGAAAUCCCCGAGCUUAACUUGGGAAUUGCAUUCGAUACUGGUGAGCUAGAGUAUGGGAGAGGAUGGUAGAAUUCCAGGUGUAGCGGUGAAAUGCGUAGAGAUCUGGAG